rnacentral:rRNA from 1 species
UACGUAGGGGGCUAGCGUUGUCCGGAAUCAUUGGGCGUAAAGCGCGUGUAGGCGGUUCGGUAAGUCCGCUGUGAAAGUCGGGGGCUCAACCCUCGGAUGCCGGUGGAUACUGUCGGGCUUGAGUACGGAAGAGGCGAGUGGAAUUCCUGGUGUAGCGGUGAAAUGCGCAGAUAUCAGGAGGAACACCAAUUGCGAAGGCAGCUCGCUGGGACGUUACUGACGCUGAGACGCGAAAGUGUGGGGAGCAAACAGG